rnacentral:rRNA from 1 species
AGUGAACGCUGGCGGUAGGCCUAACACAUGCAAGUCGAACGGCAGCACAGUAAGAGCUUGCUCUUACGGGUGGCGAGUGGCGGACGGGUGAGGAAUACAUCGGAAUCUACUUUUUCGUGGGGGAUAACGUAGGGAAACUUACGCUAAUACCGCAUACGACCUACGGGUGAAAGCAGGGGAUCUUCGGACCUUGCGCGAUUGAAUGAGCCGAUGUCGGAUUAGCUAGUUGGCGGGGUAAAGGCCCACCAAGGCGACGAUCCGUAGCUGGUCUGAGAGGAUGAUCAGCCACACUGGAACUGAGACACGGUCCAGACUCCUACGGGAGGCAGCAGUGGGGAAUAUUGGACAAUGGGCGCAAGCCUGAUCCAGCCAUACCGCGUGGGUGAAGAAGGCCUUCGGGUUGUAAAACCCUUUUGUUGGGAAAGAAAAGCAGCAGGUUAAUACCCCGCUGUUCUGACGGUACCCAAAGAAUAAGCACCGGCUAACUUCGGG